UACGAGGGGGGCGAGCGUUGUUCGGAAUUAUUGGGCGUAAAGGGUGCGUAGGCGGUUUGGUAAGUCUUAUGUGAAAUCUAUGGGCUCAACUCAUAGUCUGCAUGAGAAACUGCCGGGCUUGAGUAUGGGAGAGGUGAGUGGAAUUCCUGGUGUAGCGGUGAAAUGCGUAGAUAUCAGGAGGAACACCGAUGGCGAAGGCAGGUCUCUGGGCAUUAACUGACGCUGAGGAGCGAAAGCAUGGGGAGCGAACAGG
rnacentral:rRNA from 1 species